CUGAGGAUACGGUUAACGGAGCGAAAGCGACGUUCAACCGCAAAAGAAGCAGAGGGGGCUUAGUGGUGGGGUGACUGCGUACCUUUUGUAUAAUGGGUCAGCGACUUAUAUUCUGUAGCAAGGUUAACCGAAUAGGGGAGCCGGAGGGAAACCGAGUCUUAACCGGGCGUUAAGUUGCAGGGUAUAGACCCGAAACCCGGUGAUCUAGCCAUGGGCAGGUUGAAGGUUGGGUAACACUAACUGGAGGACCGAACCGACUAAUGUUGAAAAAUUAGCGGAUGACCUGUGGCUGGGGGUGAAAGGCCAAUCAAACCGGGAGAUAGCUGGUUCUCCCCGAAAGCUAUUUAGGUAGCGCCUCGUGAAUUCAUCUCCGGGGGUAGAGCACUGUUUCGGCUAGGGGGCCAUCCCGGCUUACCAACCCGAUGCAAACUGCGAAUACCGGAGAAUGUUAUCACGGGAGACACACGGCGGGUGCUAACGUCCGUCGUGAAGAGGGAAACAACCCAGACCGCCAGCUAAGGUCCCAAAGUCAUGGUUAAGUGGGAAACGAUGUGGGAAGGCCCAGACAGCCAGGAUGUUGGCUUAGAAGCAGCCAUCAUUUAAAGAAAGCGUAAUAGCUCACUGGUCGAGUCGGCCUGCGCGGAAGAUGUAACGGGGCUAAACCAUGCACCGAAGCUGCGGCAGCGAACGUAUCACUUAAAGCGAUUCAGCGGGUUACGAUUGACGGAGCGAAGCGACGUCAAAGCGUAUACAAAGUCGAGUCGGUUU
rnacentral:rRNA from 1 species